rnacentral:rRNA from 1 species
UAUUGCACAAUGGGCGCAAGCCUGAUGCAGCCAUGCCGCGUGUAUGAAGAAGGCCUUAGGGUNGUAAAGUACUUUCAGCGGGGAGNNAGNNNANAAGGUUAAUACCCUUGUCAAUUGACGUUACCCGCAGNNNANGNACCGGCUAACUCCGUGCCAGCCACCGCGGGAAUACCGAGGGUACAAGCGUUAAUCGGAAUUACUGGGCGUAAAGCGCACGCAGGCGGUCAAUUAAGUCAGAUGUGAAAGCCCCGAGCUUAACUUGGGAAUUGCAUCUGAAACUGGUUGGCUAGAGUCUUGUAGAGGGGGGUAGAAUUCCAUGUGUAGCGGUGAAAUGCGUAGAGAUGUGGAGGAAUACCGGUGGCGAAGGCGGCCCCCUGGACAAAGACUGACGCUCAGGUGCGAAAGCGUGGGGAGCAAACAGG